UACAACACUGUUUGGUCAAUGGCUCAAGCAUAUUUCUAGCUAGCUCUUAUAUCUUAAAUUAAUCCAUAUGUUACCCGAGGUUGUGACCUAUGGGUAAGGUAAGGUUCCAGCGGGCGUCUUUCUCCUUUGGUAGGCCGCUAUGUGGCCUAUUCUUUCUCUGGAUCUCUUCCAGCCUGGCUAUAUUCUGCCCUGCUGCAGUGACUGAUAACUAACAGCUUUCAGUUUCAGACAAGGUUGAAGCUUGUCUAGAUAUUCUCUGAUUACGGCAGCAAUGGAGCAAAAGUGCUGGCCUGCAUGCUUACACUUUAAUUCCUGCCUAUGGUUUGGCAAUGCCCCUACCAUGGGCUGGGGGCACUGGGCCACUUGAUACGACCUUGACUGCCAGGAAGAGAUGUGCUCCUCUAUCAGUAAGCGGCAGUUCAUGCAGACAGCGUUGCACAUGAGCAAGGAUGGAAGGAUACAAGUUACAAAGACUUCUGCAGUGAUGGUUGUUGGCUUCCUCUCCUAGAGACUAAAAAGGCAGCCCCUCGGUGGAUCUUCUGCUUAGCGAGUUGUGGCCAAGGACUGGAGCUAAGGAUUUGUGCAGAUGUGGAAAACCAGACCUGCUCAGGUUUCCCCGGGAAUUUUUUAUACCCUACCUUCUGCUGUCUGGAAGAAGUCUGUUAAAACGUGUUUCUGUGAGAUAUGGGUCACUUGGCAGAUGGUUACAUAUCACUGGCCCUGAGGAAGACUGGCAGAAGUUUUGUGUGCUCCUGUGAGUGGGCCUUGUGUAUACCCAGCCCUUUUAUGAGCCAAGUGCCCAGAACUUCAACAGUGUCAUAGUUACUGGAGAAAUUCUUCACACACUUAUGAUUAUCGGCAAAAUGAAAGCUUCUCGCUUGCUCAUUUUAGUGACCUGUGACAUAGUAACCCUCAAUUCAAAGUUUUGAUUUAAGCCCGCAUUAACUCGGGACUUUCACAAGAUUGGACCCAUUAACUUCCCAUCAUGGAGGUGAGGCGAGAGACUCCCAAGACCCUUUCCUUCCCUGACAAUAAAUAGGCAGGUACCGGUUAUGGGAGACAGAGACAUUUUCUUCAGUGGUGCUCCUGCUGGGGACCUAGCCUUGUGAAUAAGUGCACACCAGGAACUCACAGAAUUCUGGAUUGGAAAUGGGAAAAAAAAUAAAAGAAAGAAAAGAAUCCGAUGUGGACCAGAGUGCUGCUGAAGACAUCAGGAAAGACGACCAGGAACUUCCAAGUCUUUACAACCUAAACCAUUCCUGCCUCUCAAACACUCAAGAAAUGUUUGUGCCUACCAUAAGAAAUGAACUAUCUGAAAGAAGAAAUCCUAAAACCCAGCUGGGAUCCAGAAAACAGACUCCCAGGCCCGCAGGUCAGUUUCUCCUUCAUCUGUGUUUGCUCAGUCUGUAAACUUGGCCUUUUCAUGUGGUUGGUCUGACUGUUAAACAGAGAGAGACUGAUGAGUUUGGAGUUCCGGGAUCAUGAGGAUAAAGCUUUAUAAUCAAGCCUUUUGCAGGGGACCUCUGUCCCUAUCAAGUUUUUCAAAUUGUAAUUCAAUAUUAAAUGUUUGCUAAAGGGGCUAUGAGGUGGAUCAGAGGGGAGAGGCACUUGCAGCCAAGCCUGGUCGUCUGAAUUUGAUCCCUGGGACACACAAGGUGAGAGAAGAGAACAGACUCCUGCAAGCUGUCCUCCGAUCCUCUCAGUAGAAUGUGGUGCAUAUAAAUAGUGUUUAUACCAGCAACAACACAAACCCGUAUAGGAAACCUACUUUUUUAUGUUUCCUCUCAUUUGCUGUACUACCAAACUCAUCUGUUUCCACAGAAUAAAGUAUAAACCUGCCUGCCAAAGCGUGCAAGCCUUUUCCCCCCGAGUCAUUUGACCCUUUACGCCCCCACAGCAGCCUGUACAAACACUUGUCACAGAAGCAUUUGCCCAGUGCAAGACCCUCAGAGUCAGCCACAGAGUGAGUUUGAAAUCCCCACUCAGAGACAUGGCUCUCCUUUAGUCUAGCAGGAUGGCUAAGUACAUAGGCCUUGCUGCCAGGCCUAACAAUCUGCAUUUUAUUCCCAGGAAUAAAAGAAGGAGAUAACCAAUUCUUGUAAGUUGUCCUUUGACCUUUGUACACUGUAAAUGUGAGUGCAUGCACAAACACACAUAGAUACACAGAUAAUAAA